AACGAACGCUGGCGGCAUGCCUAACACAUGCAAGUCGAACGAGACCUUCGGGUCUAGUUGCUCACGCGUGCGUCACGCGUGGGAACCGGGCCGUAGGUUCGGAAUAAUUCCUUUACGGGGGUGCUAACACCGGUAAAUGUCUGCUAACACAGGCUUUAUCGCCUUUGGAUGGGCCCGCGUUGGAUGCGCUAGUUGGUAGUGUAAUCGCCUACCAAGGCGACGAUCCAUAGCUGGUCUGAGAGGAAGAGCAGCCACACUGGGACUGAGACACGGCCCAGAAUCCUACGGGAGGCAGCAGUGGGGAAUAUUGCACAAUGGGCGAAAGCCUGAUGCAGCAAGGCCGCGUGAGUGAUGAAGUCCUUAGGGAUGUAAAGCUCUUUUAGCCGGGAUGAUAAUGACGGUACCGGAAGAAUAAGCCCCGGCUAACUCCGUG
rnacentral:rRNA from 1 species